rnacentral:rRNA from 1 species
CCUACGGGGGGCAGCAGUGGGGGAUAUUGCACAAUGGGGGAAACCCUGAUGCAGCGACGCCGCGUGUAGGCAGACGGUCCUCUGGAUUGUAAACCACUGUCCCCAGGGACGAAGAUGACGGUACCUGGGGAGGAAGCUCCGGCUAACUACGUGCCAGCAGCCGCGGUAAUACGUAGGGAGCAAGCGUUGUCCGGAAUUACGGGGUGUAAAGGGGUCGUAGGCGGGAUGGCAAGUUGGGGGUAAAAUCUACCGGCUAAACUGGUAGUCGCACUCAAAACUGCUAUUCUUGAGUGAAGUAGAGGCAGGCGGAAUUCCUAGUGUAGCGGUGAAAUGCGUAGAUAUUAGGAGGAACACCAGUGGCGAAGGCGGCCUGCUGGGCUUUUACUGACGCUGAGGCUCGAAAGUGUGGGGAGCAAACAGGAUUAGAUACCCUAGUAGUC